AUUCUUGUGCAGAGGUAAUAUCAUAGCUAUAAGAUUCAUCUGAGGUGUGGUUAUUGCUGGUUGAAAACUUUAGUUGAUACUCUACCUGGAUGAUUUGGAAAAUAAUCACCUGUGGUAGUUUUUAAAGAUCUCUGAGGAGG